UACGAGGGGGGCUAAUGUUGUUCGGAAUCACUGGGCGUAAAGCGCACGUAGGCGGAUUGUUAAGUCAGGGGUGAAAUCCUGGAGCUCAACUCCAGAACUGCCUUUGAUACUGGCGAUCUCGAGUCCGGGAGAGGUGAGUGGAACUGCGAGUGUAGAGGUGAAAUUCGUAGAUAUUCGCAAGAACACCAGUGGCGAAGGCGGCUCACUGGCCCGGUACUGACGCUGAGGUGCGAAAGCGUGGGGAGCAAACAGG
rnacentral:rRNA from 1 species